UGCAACUUGAACAACUCCUAUGUGUCAGAGUUUGCAGAAACAAAAACACGUGUUGUGCCCAACCACUAUUGCUUGGAUCAAUUUAACCCAUUUCCCUGUCCUUGAGCCAUCUGGAGUUAGAGACAAAAGCAAACAUGAUGUUGAAGAUACCUAAAAACUGGAAUAGGAUAAUGAAAAUAUCAAAUACUACCCUGUCAAAACAUAGUCUUCAUUCACAUGGUAAUGAGCGGGUUAUUUAACUGGAUUUAAAUAAUUUUUAUCCAUUUAAAUUUCCAUUCCAACUGGACCCAGCCUCCCAGUGUCUGCUUUCCUCUUUUACAAGGAAAUAUGAAGCACCCAUGUGAAGUGCACUGAGUCUGACAAAAAGAAAUGAACGAGCCCGGUGUUUUCUGCAGAUGUCUCUCAUCAAGACAGCCUCUCUACCCAAGGGCCAGGUGGUGCAGCCUUUAAACUCAAACCCAUAAUUACAGGUGGCAGCAGCUAUCAAAGUCUGAGAACUGACGUAUUUCCGUUCUCAGUUCAGCCCUUGGACAACUAUACUCAAUAAACACUCCGAAGAUCUCUGCCAUUAUCUGAGGAAACCCUGCAUAUUAACAAUUUCUCUGACAGUUUCUCUGUCACAAUCUUCAUGAAAACGCCGCUUGGUUUUUGUUUCCCUCAGCCUCUCAGAGCUGUUGAGGUGACCAUUAAGCCUCUCUCCUCCUGCAGCUCCCAGCAGGAGGAUUUCCAGCUUCUCCCAGGUAUUUAAUUCUGAGUGCGGGAACCCGCCGCUGCUGAGGAACUCCCGCUUCGCCACAGCCGCAGAGCCCGCGGAGACCUGUCCCCGCCCCGCUGCGCAGGCUCCGGCGGCGGAUUGGGUGGUGCGAGCAGCACGUCCCUGCUUGCCGCCCUCUCAUUGGCCAGCGGCCCAAUCAGUCCCCUGUGGGCUGGGCCAGGAGGCUGAGGGGGCGGGGAGAGAGCGGCCGGCGUUGCCGCGGUAACGGGCGGGCCGGACAUGGCGGCGGGAGCGGGCGGUUGCGAGCAGCUUUCUGGUCCUGAACACAUCUGCCUGGUUUUUUGUGUCUCAGUUGGUUUCUCGUUAACAUUCACUUCUGUUCUAAGUUGACAUAAUGUUUUUAUUUAGCAACAGCAUUUCCCAGAAUUCCAGAUACCAGUAGUGGGUUGAAAAUUGUUUUAAUUGAGGCAAGGAGAAAAUUCCAGCCACGGACAAUUGUAAUUAACUUUCUAAAACUGAAAUGACCCUGAUUAGGUAUUAAGCACCUUCCUCCAAGGUUCUUGUUUGUUUUGGUCUGGGUUUUUUUUUUUUGGCAAAUGAUACAUGUAUGUUAUUUGUGUAUAUAUGUAUGUAUAUAUACUGGAGCUGGAGAUCAACAUCCAUUGGCUGCAUACCUUGCACUCCAAACACAUUACAGAAAGCCUUACAGAUAAAAGAAACAAUUGCAUUUGAAAAAGCAGAGUUUUACCGGUAACAAUAGAAAUACUUGCACCAAGCUUACAAGUUAAAAAGAAAAAGAAGAAGAAGAAGAAAAAAAAAAAAGAAGAAGAAAAGAAGAAAAAGAAGAAGAAAAAGAAGAAGAAAAAGAAAAAGAAAAAGAAAAAGAAAAAGAAAAAGAAAAAGAAAAAGAAAAAGAAAAAGAAAAAGAAAAAGAAAAAGAAAAACUGAGCUUGCUAAGAAAAUUAAGUUAAAUUGUAGCUGUGUGUUUUGUGCAACUUGCAGAUAGGUUUGCAUGUCUACUGUGAUUUUUUUUAAAGUACAGUAAACCAAAAUAUUUCAAAAACCUUGACAGUUUAAAAUACUGGAUAUGUAGCCACUAAUUGGUUUAAGUGUUUAAUAUUAAUUUGAUGUUUUAUUAAAUUUGAAACCACUGUGAAGAUGUUCCCGAUACCAACUUUAUGCAGGUCAGCUCUUGGCUUUGAGGAUAUUUGCCGCCCAAACUUUGAUGAUGAUAAUAUUAAUACUACAUAUAGACUAAAACUGUAGAAGACCAGUGAAGAGGUGUAGUUCCUAACACGAGCUGCCCCUCUGCUUCUCCUCAGCCAUCCCCAGCAGUGACACGUCCCAAACUUUGCUCAUUAGUGCACCAGGGCUAAUGAGAGCACCCACAUGGCCCCAUGCUGGUCAUGCAGCCACAGCCCAGGGCUGCUGCUCACAGCAAGUGGUGCCAGGACAGCUGGUUCAAAGCACGGACUGGAGCUGCCAAGGCACAAGCACACAUGAUUCCUGAGCUCAGCCAAACACAGAGAACUCCAGAGCAGAGACAGUUAAGCACUGUUGAAGGCUGCCCAGUAACUGGGAGCGCAAUAGUCUAAUGCUCUUUCUGUGAGCUUAUACUUGGGUAAAUAUUUAGGUUUUAAAAGCUUUAAAUGACAGUGGAUAUUGCAUUGGGACACUGUGCAAAGCCCUGGACUAUGUUUACUCACAGAUGGUCUAUUACCUUUGGGUCCAUAAAGGCUUUUCAGUCCAUGCAGUCAUUCUGCAGAGUGCAGUGCUCUUGGGGUUCAGCGGUGAGUCAGUCUCUCCUAGGACGGCAUCCACAAAGACCAGCCUCCAAAAACCCCACAGCUCUUGGUCAAGAGGUGUGAGACAGCAGUAUCUCAAGCUGGCCUGGCUUGCCUUAUUCAUUAAUUCCAGGUGCUUUUUUUUGAUUGGAUUUUUACUGAAAUCAGACUGGUAAAGCUUCAAACCAGGAGGAAAAACAAGUGAAAAAAAAAAAAAAAAGCUAAUAGAAGAGAACUAUUGUCUGGCAAUGAGAAACACCCAAAGACCAAGGUAAGAGCACUUACUGUGAAUAAGUGAGUAUCAGGGCCUUCUGUUGACAGAGGCAGCCCCAUGUGGGCACCUGUCUGGCUGCAGCAGCAGCAAGCAGCAAUCUCAAAUAAAUAUUUCUGUCUCCUAGGCAAGAAGAGUGCCCAUUUCUCAGGCCUAAUUACUGAGAUGCAUCAUGGUGCCAUCUCCCACGUUGGUGCUUCCUGUCAGAUUUAGUAUUAGUGCUGCAAGCAUGCAUGGGGAUACAGUGUUCGAUUUUUGUCCCCAGGAGAUUUAACGGGAGAUGUGUUGUUGAUAAAAAGAAAUCUGGACUGGCAACAGACGGCCAAGGGAAAGGGCGAGGGUGGACACCACAACUCCCGGUCACUCGCAGGAACCACGGGGCUCCUCCACGGUGUGGGGCUGUUGGUUUGCAUUUGUCUGUCUGCCAAGCUGCAAAAUGAUUCAGUACUCACUUCCCUGACAGGAUGAACCUUGCUGAGCUCUUCAUCAGAAAGCAAAAGAGAUUUGCAAGACUGUGUGAUACUUCACUGAAAGCCUAAUAAAAUAACAAUAGUGUAUAACCACGGGAUACAUGGGUGGCAGAAAUCUUACAAUACCUUUUAUUUGUCCAAAUCAGAAAACACAGCAAAUGGGAUGAAGCAAACAACUGACAUGAAAUAUAACACCAGCUUAACUUCUGAUUACUGGAAGGAAACUCAGUUUCAUCAUAUGAAUGUCCUGGUGUCCCAGAACAUGAACGGUUUCAUUUGGUUUGUAAAUACACUUAGUAAAUGUUGCAAUAACCAUUGUGCUGUUGUAAGUGCAGGGCAAUAGCAUUGCUGAAGCCUUAAGAGCCACGUUGAAGUUUGUGAACAGAUGUUACAAGAUUUGCUAAAAUAUGUACUUUUUCCUUUAAGAAGAAUAAAGGGGCCUUUUGCCUUAGAAUUUUGUAUUUGGAGAGAAAGAAGUUAUCCAGGUCUCAAACAGCUUUCAUUUUUCUACACAAAGGAGCAAAGAAUUGCAGACCAAAGAGAGAUUUUUACAUGCAAUACUGUUUGCUUAAAUUUGCAUCAUUUCUUAAAUCCACAUUUUUUCCCAAA